UGUGACUUCUGCUACUUCUGCGAUUUCUGUGACUUCUGCUACUUCUGCGACUUACCACCGUAUGAAAAAGCUACAUCUGUCCACACAGAAAAUUGCAUCUCAACAAACCUGUCAUUGGUACCCGAACUACAUUUCAGUCACUCAGUAAAGUGAUAACUCAAAAUAUCAUUGUCAGCAGAUCUGGAGAAAUUGCCACUGCGUCUUUAGACCGUUUUCGUCAGACGAGAGACACAGUUCUGGUUGCUGUACGUAUCUAUCCACAUCAAGGCUGUUGGAGAGACUUGUGAAGAUUCAGGAGAGCUCUUAGAGGAUUUGCAAUUUAAGAGUGACAUUAUUGCGAAAUAAGUGUGCAGAUGAGUGAUUAAACUGUGUUUUAUUGA